CCCUGCAGUCUUCGCUACGCAACAUCAGAAACAUACCAACUCUUCUGCGCAGGAUGUCCCUCUCUCACACCAAAGUGACUGACUGGCAAGGUCUCUACAAGACGGUGUACAGUACAGUGUGUAUCAGGGACACUGUGCGGCUCUCAGAG